rnacentral:pre_miRNA from 7 species
UUUCGGGGUUCUUGGGUGUCACGCAGAUCUCGGUGGGACCUCCAAAUGAAAGAACCUAGUGGGGGAAACCUCCACUCCAAUUCUCGAUUUGGCGCGCACCCAAGAAUCACGAACAGAGGA